CUUACUUUAAAAACUGUGUAACACCCCAUGAAAAGACAUAGUCCCUACUCACUAGGAAAUGAUGUCUUUGAAAAAUGUUGCAGUUGAUUACAGACUUUAAUUUUUUUCCCCAACUCUUCUCAGUUUGCAGGCCUUUCUGAUAUAUCAAUCUCACAAGACAUCCCUGUGGAAGGAGAAAUCACCAUUCCUAUGAGAUCUCAUAUUCGGGAAUUUGACAGCUCCACAUUAAAUGAAUCUGUUCAGAAUACCAUUAUGCGUGAUCUAAAAGCUGUUGGGAAAAAAUUCAUGCAUGUUUUGUACCCAAGGAAAA